GACGAACGCUGGCGGCGUGCUUAACACAUGCAAGUCGAACGGAAAGGCCCUGCUUGCAGGGUACUCGAGUGGCGAACGGGUGAGUAACACGUGGGUGAUCUGCCCUGCACUUCGGGAUAAGCUUGGGAAACUGGGUCUAAUACCGGAUAGGAGCCAUCUUUAGUGUGGUGGUUGGAAAGUUUUUUCGGUGUAGGAUGAGCUCGCGGCCUAUCAGCUUGUUGGUGGGGUAAUGGCCUACCAAGGCGGCGACGGGUAGCCGGCCUGAGAGGGUGUACGGCCACAUUGGGACUGAGAGACGGCCCAGACUCCUACGGGAGGCAGCAGUGGGGAAUAUUGCACAAUGGGCGCAAGCCUGAUGCAGCGACGCCGCGUGGGGGAUGAAGGCCUUCGGGUUGUAAACUCCUUUCGCUAGGGACGAAGCUUUGUUGUGACGGUACCUAGAUAAGAAGCACCGGCUAACUACGUG
rnacentral:rRNA from 1 species